rnacentral:rRNA from 1 species
UUGAAAGACCAGUUCCCGUACGAUCAUCGAAGUUAAGCAACGUUGAGCCUGAUCAGUACCUAGAUGGGUGACCGCUUGGGAAUGCCAGGUACAGU